rnacentral:rRNA from 1 species
UGGGGAAUAUUGCACAAUGGGGGGAAACCCUGAUGCAGCGACGCCGCGUGAGUGAAGAAGUAUUUCGGUAUGUAAAGUUCUAUCAGCAGGGAAGAUAAUGACGGUACCUGACUAAGAAGCACCGGCUAAAUACGUGCCAGCAGCCGCGGUAAUACGUAUGGUGCAAGCGUUAUCCGGAUUUACUGGGUGUAAAGGGAGCGCAGGCGGUGCGGCAAGUCUGAUGUGAAAGCCCGGGGCUCAACCCCGGUACUGCAUUGGAAACUAUGCAGCUAGAGUGUCGGAGAGGUAAGUGGAAUUCCCAGUGUAGCGGUGAAAUGCGUAGAUAUUGGGAGGAACACCAGUGGCGAAGGCGGCUUACUGGACGAUGACUGACGUUGAGGCUCGAAAGCGUGGGGAGCAAACAGGAUUAGAUACCCUGGUAGU